rnacentral:rRNA from 1 species
AUUGAACGCUGGCGGCAGGCCUAACACAUGCAAGUCGAGCGGAUGAAGGGAGCUUGCUCCUGGAUUCAGCGGCGGACGGGUGAGUAAUGCCUAGGAAUCUGCCUGGUAGUGGGGGAUAACGUCCGGAAACGGGCGCUAAUACCGCAUACGUCCUGAGGGAGAAAGUGGGGGAUGUUCGGACCUCACGCUAUCAGAUGAGCCUAGGUCGGAUUAGCUAGUUGGUGGGGUAAAGGCCUACCAAGGCGACGAUCCGUAACUGGUCUGAGAGGAUGAUCAGUCACACUGGAACUGAGACACGGUCCAGACUCCUACGGGAGGCAGCAGUGGGGAAUAUUGGACAAUGGGCGAAAGCCUGAUCCAGCCAUGCCGCGUGUGUGAAGAAGGUCUUCGGAUUGUAAAGCACUUUAAGUUGGGAGGAAGGGCAGUAAGUUAAUACCUUGCUGUUUUGACGUUACCAACAGAAUAAGCACCGGCUAACUUCGUG